GGCGAACGCUGGCGGCGUGCUUAACACAUGCAAGUCGAACGGAAAGGCCCUGCUUUUGUGGGGUGCUCGAGUGGCGAACAGGUGAGUAACACGUGAGUAACCUGCCCUUGACUUUGGGAUAACUUCAGGAAACUGGGGCUAAUACCGGAUAGGAGCUCCUGCUGCAUGGUGGGGGUUGGAAAGUUUCGGCGGUUGGGGAUGGACUCGCGGCUUAUCAGCUUGUUGGUGGGGUAGUGGCUUACCAAGGCUUUGACGGGUAGCCGGCCUGAGAGGGUGACCGGCCACAUUGGGACUGAGAUACGGCCCAGACUCCUACGGGAGGCAGCAGUGGGGAAUAUUGCACAAUGGGCGGAAGCCUGAUGCAGCAACGCCGCGUGCGGGAUGACGGCCUUCGGGUUGUAAACCGCUUUCGCCUGUGACGAAGCGUGAGUGACGGUAAUGGGUAAAGAAGCACCGGCUAACUACGUG
rnacentral:rRNA from 1 species